AUUGAACGCUGGCGGCAGGCCUAACACAUGCAAGUCGAGCGGAUGAAGGGAGCUUGCUCCUGGAUUCAGCGGCGGACGGGUGAGUAAUGCCUAGGAAUCUGCCUGGUAGUGGGGGAUAACGUCCGGAAACGGGCGCUAAUACCGCAUACGUCCUGAGGGAGAAAGUGGGGGAUCUUCGGACCUCACGCUAUCAGAUGAGCCUAGGUCGGAUUAGCUAGUUGGUGGGGUAAAGGCCUACCAAGGCGACGAUCCGUAACUGGUCUGAGAGGAUGAUCAGUCACACUGGAACUGAGACACGGUCCAGACUACUACGGGAGGCAGCAGUGGGGAAUAUUGGACAAUGGGCGAAAGCCUGAUCCAGCCAUGCCGCGUGUGUGAAGAAGGUCUUCGGAUUGUAAAGCACUUUAAGUUGGGAGGAAGGGCAGUAAGUUAAUACCUUGCUGUUGUGACGUUACCAACAGAAUAAGCACCGGCUAACUUCG
rnacentral:rRNA from 1 species